CCUACGGGAGGCAGCAGUGAGGAAUAUUGGUCAAUGGACGAGAGUCUGAACCAGCCAAGUAGCGUGAAGGAUGACUGCCCUCUGGGUUGUAAACUUCUUUUAUAUGGGAAUAAAAUGUUCCACGUGUGGGAUUUUGUAUGUACCAUAUGAAUAAGGAUCGGCUAACUCCGUGCCAGCAGCCGCGGUAAUACGGAGGAUCCGAGCGUUAUCCGGAUUUAUUGGGUUUAAAGGGAGCGUAGGUGGAUUGUUAAGUCAGUUGUGAAAGUUUGCGGCUCAACCGUAAAAUUGCAGUUGAAACUGGCAGUCUUGAGUACAGUAGAGGUGAGCGGAAUUCGUGGUGUAGCGGUGAAAUGCUUAGAUAUCACGAAGAACUCCGAUUGCGAAGGCAGUUCACUGGACUGCAACUGACACUGAGGCUCGAAAGUGUGGGUAUCAAACAGGAUUAGAUACCCCUGUAGUC
rnacentral:rRNA from 1 species